CCAUUUCAUCCUUUAAUAUUACUUUAGUAGAAUACUUCAUACGAAGGGAAUCUUAUCCAUCAAUAAACAUUUGGACAGUCACGAUCUACAAUCUCUUUACUCUACACAUAUAGGGUUGUACGUUUGAAUGUUUAUUUUUGGGGAUAACUCAUUUCGGAAGAGGCAAAAUAUUCGGCAAUAUUUCCCAUUAGGAAUAGCUCUUGUUGUAGAAAAAAAGAAAAAAAAAAGACAACGUCCAGCAACCUUUUACUUGGGAUACUUCAUUAUUUCAACAAGAAUUUCGAGAACUCAGGAGUGUAAAUUGAUGUUUUCCUCCACUUGUUGAGGUAAGAAUCCCAUCCUAGCUCCGUUUACGAGUUGAAAUAAGUGUAUCUAAAGAACUCACGGGACGGUGAUCGGAAGUCGUGAGUUCAAGUUGUAGUAAUUGUACAUAGCCUUGGGAGCUCGUCACUCCUUGAUUGCUUGACGAUAAUGUCGGUUUAGAUGUAGUGUUUGGUUGUUCUAGUUGUUGCUUUUCUUGUGGUAGUAAUUGCGAAUGAACAAGUAGGGGCGGCAACUAAAGAGGUAGCGAGACUGACCGCAGUGGUUCGUUUAGCAAUCAGUCUUAUUGCUUGAAAGCACACUUGCGGAUUCUCUGUAUUCUCUUCCGAACAGCGGAUUUCCGAUAUGUGAAGUUGGAGGAAGUUAAGGAGAGAUGCUUCCCAAAUUUAUAUAAAUGAGUUGCUAGAGUGAAGAUUCGACUAAGUCUCUUAAUGGUAUUAACCAUAAGCCUUGUUGUGCUGAUGUAGAUUAAACUCCAUUGUGUGCUGCGUUGGGAAGUAUUGUAGCUUGAGGAGAUUGAGGUAUGUUAAGGCUAGCCUUUCCUUCAUUCUUUAGCAUGGUCUAUAUGGAAAAAAAGAAAAUGUAACCAAACGUCCUCAUAAUGACUCUAUUCCUAGAAGUGCUAAGAGCUUAUGUCUUUGUUUCCCAUAUGAUAUUUAUCAUGUCUUGAGUUCCUAAGUCCCGAAGGGGCAUAUAUAUAAGGUUUAAUAUUUUGUAUACAUUUUCAUAUGGAUUCUAAGUCCCGAAGGGGGCGUAUGAUAAUAAGAAGAUGUUCUUAACAAGGUAGGAAGGUAACGACUAGAAAGUCACUCCGAAGGGAGUUCCGAGUUUCAUAAGUCAUGUCAUGCAUCAUUUAUACAUACAUAUUUAUAUACUUAUGCAUCAUGAUAUUAUGGGGCAUGGGAAGGGCUAUGGCGUUAUAUAUGCAAACCACUUGAUUAGCUGGUAUAUGAUGAUUAUGAUGCCCAAGGGGCCGAUAUGAUAUGAUGCUCGACGGAGCAAAUGGGUAUGAUAUGAUACUCGACGGAGCAAAUGGGUAAAGGCAUAUAUAUACAUACAUAUAUGAUAUUCAUGCAUUACAUUGCAUUUGCAUCGCGUUCAUUGUAUUCAGAAAGGUUGCAUGCCCUAUGGACGGACUAUGAUACACAUAGGUGCACAAUCAUUCAGAUGUGGUUAUGCAUACGAGAGUCGUAGAGGGACAUAUACGCUCGAUUCUCAUCAGUACAGUAAUGUUAUAGAGACAUAAAGAUGCAUUCGAUCGUGUCACGACCCGCCUAGGGGGCCGCGACAAGCGCCCGGUGCUAGCCCACCCGUGCACCCCUUGGCUUACACUUAUACUUACGUCUAGGUGAGCCACAUAAUUAAACACGUAAUCCUAUUCAUUCAUCGUACUAGUCCCAUUGGACAACAAUGCUUUUAUAUCAUCAUUGACAUCUAUGCCACAUCAAUGUACAUGAGCCGACAAGGCUAUCAAAUGAUAUACAAAAUAUAGGCCGGCAAGGCCAGACAUAUCUAUCCAUAUACACGUAUCUACGAGCUUCUAAGGAGAGUAUAAUAUAUCACAUAAGCGGGACAGGACCCCGCUAUGCCCAUAAUUAUAUACACAAAAGAAUAAGUACCCAAAAGCUAUGGCUCAGAAUGAAAUGGAGCUCUGCUAUGCAGUCUAUGAGAAUACCGCUAUGGAUCGAGCCUGUCUCCCUGUGCACCUGCGGGCAUGACGCAGCGUCUACAAACAAAAGGACGUCAGUACGAAGAAUGUACUGAAUAUGUAAAGCAUGAUCAAUAUCAAUAUAGAAGCAUAAUAAGCAACAUAAGAAAUAGCACAAGAUGGGAGAUGGUGAUAUCAUCGUCAUAGGCACUUACUUGCCUUUCAUAAGGCUUUCCAUUUCUAAUGCGUAUUUGUGUACUUACAUCCAAAUCGUAUUCGUUCCAUAUUUGUACUUGUAUUCGUAUACAUACCCUUAUCCACAUUCAUAUCGUAUCAUAUUCGUAUUCAUAUCAUAUACAUACUCAUAUCAUAUAUAUAGCAUUUACAUAGCAUACCCGACCAUGCAGGAUCGGUGUUUCAUACAUACAUAGCCAACCAAGGCUCAAGGUUACUCAUACCUGGCCCUACCAAGGCUUCAGGGUUACAUCUACCUAGCCCUACCAAGGCGUCAGGGUUAUCCGUACCAUCUGCAGAGGUGUGCGCGCAUUACGUAAUCAUAUACAUACUUAUUUACAUAUCUUACCCGGCCUCAUAAGCUCGGGGUUCCAUAAUAGUCAUACAUAGACACAUAAACAUAAUAGCUCAUAAGCAUCUUUACUAUUUACAUCGUUAUCACAAUCGUCAUCAACAUCAUUAUUACUACUAUCGUCAUCCAUCACAUUUACCUUAAUAGGCCUACUCGUCAUACGAGGAACUUAGUACAAUCGUAGCAUAUCGAGAAUCAUAAGCUCAGUAGCUUUGAAGAUAGAAGCAUUUGGAGAAUAUCAUAAGCUCGUAGAAGAUUUAGAUGAUUGGCAAAAGAACCAUGCCUUAUGAAAGAAGAGUUAGCCUUACAUACCUUUUCCGUUCACUAUUUUACACUUGCGCGUUCACCUCCAAUGCUAGCAUUUCUACUGUCACACCCUAAUGUCCCUAGGGUGUGAUGGGCACCCGACCCCAUAUCCGGAGCCGAGCGAACCCACAGAUUCUUAUUACACACGUAAUUUCUUCGGACUCUGAAAAUCAAAUAAAAGUAAAAUACAUAUUAAGCUUUCAAAAACUUUCUUUUAUCGUUCUCAAAAUUAAACAAAAUCUGUAAUUAUAUAAAAUUUAUUACAUAACACAGAAUGACAUAUCGGCUGAUGGAGCCGCUUACAGACUGACAACCAAUACCCACGACUCUGUCUGAAAGUCUCUAACAUCAAUCCAGAAACCAGAACAUACAUGUACUCUGACUCGGCAACGCUCCAGAAGCAAAUGGAGCUCGCCAAUCCUGCUGAAACAUCUUCUGACAAAUCUUGUAUUCAACUGUAGGUACCUGCGUGACAUGAAACGCAACCCCCGAAGAAAGGGGGUCAGUACGAAAAAUGUACUGAGCAUGUAAGGCAAGAAUCAUAAUAAAGAAUCGUAGCUGACAUGAGGAGUACAGAAACAUAUACAAUGUCCAGAAUACCAAAGUUACUACCUUUAGAACUUAAAUCAUUCAUAUCAUUAUCACAUACCGUACCCGGCCCGUUAUGGGACUCGGUGAAUGAAAUCAUGCGUGCGAACAUCAUAUAUCAUACACAUACCGUACCCGGCCCGUUAAGGGACUCGGUGAUGAAAUCAUGUCAUUCCUGUGCUCAUAUCAUCAUGCAUACGUAUACAUAUACAUAUAUAUACCGUACCCGGCCCUCUAGUGAGGGACUCGGUGAAUGAAAUCAUACCGUACCCGUCCCAUUAAGGGACUCGGUAAAUGAAAUCAUAUCGUACCCGACCCGUUAAGGGACUCGGUAAAGAAAUAAUGUGCACAUAUACCGUACCCGGCCCAUCAUGGGACUCGGUGCCAUAAUCAUAUUAUCAUAUACAUAUACCGUACCCGGCCCAUUAAGGGACUUGGUGAACAAUGCAGAGGAGUGCGCACGAUAACAUAUCCUGGCUCGGGCUCAGUGAAUAGACAUAUCAAGACUUGCACGAACAGAGUAGUGCGAAACCCUAUGCACACAAAUCAAGACUCGCUAAACAAAUAUACUUAUCGACAUCUGAAGGCUCGGAAACAAGUUUCAAGUCAGUCGGAGUGAGUAUGGGAAAGUUACAAGCUCUUGAAGUACAGAACCUUUUAUGAACCUUUCAGAAGUCGUUUUUGGAAAAUCGGAGCAAAAAUCAUAUUAAGCACCUUUUGCAUAUUAUUAUGGAUCAAAUCAAUAUGCUGACAUCAUAUAUCGUAUAUACACAUAACAGAAUCCUGCAUGCAUACUUAUAGAACAUCCAACAGAGUGUUGCUGCGGAACGUGCAGCCCGAUCCAUACUAUAACAUAUUACUGCCGAGGAACGUUCGGCCCGAUCCAAGACUGUAUACCAAAGUUAGAAGCAUUAGUACUUACAGAACCAUUUUAAAAACAUAAACUCUUCUACUUGGUUCAUUAUCCAAUUAUGUAAUAAUCUUAACCAUAGGGAGUAUACUCUUAUCCACAGACCAAUAAGAAUCGUAGACAACUUCGGAAACUUAUAAAAUAGAGCUUUGAAAUCAUGGGUACGUAUCGAAGCCAUAUGAAGUGGCUUACGGAGAUCAAAAAUAGUGGCCAUCCUAGUGGUCUAAGAAUCAGAAUCUCUUGAAAUCAUACAUAUAUGUCAUAUACUUAUUCAUAUGGAUCAUGCCAAAGGAAAACAAAAAGGGUAAGCCUUACAUACCUAUGUCACGACCAACUAGGUACGCUUAUUUUCCCAAACUUGCUAAUCUACAUACAAAAGAAUUCACAUGAUCAUUAGAUUUAUCGUCAUUCACUUAUCUUAACUUCUCAAAUAAAUUCGCUUAUAUUCUGCCGAAAUUUCAGCAGCAUCUCCCCUAUAAAUACAUCACCCCCGAGAGUCUAACUCGGCUAAAUCAUCAACAACAAACCCGAGAAUGGAACUCGGCCAAAAUAUCAAUAAUAAUACCAACAAUUAUAUCUUCCAACUUCAACAAUUUAUUCAAAAUACAUUCCAACAUUAACAGCUCCUUUACAUAAUUCAAUGACACUUCCUUUAUAUUUAAUUCAUAAUUGUUCACAUGUUCAAAUACUAAUCCGAAACCAUUUAACAAUAUUCAAGAACACUCCAACAACCCGCACAACAUUUUAAACGGCCAAACCAACAUACUACCCAAAAUCUUCCGAACUCAACAAAACAAUGACAACACAUUUCUUUCUUUCAACUUCAUGAAUUACACCAACAAUUCACACUAACAACAUUAUCUUCCAUAAAUACAAGAAGACUAUAUUCAAAUCAUUUUAACUUCUAAAACAACUCUCCAAUACUUACAACUUCAACUUGAAUCAUUAAACUCUCAUUAUCAACAUAGAAUUCAUAAUAACAACAACCAAAACACUAGAUAAAAUAAUUAAUCCAUCACCCCUACACAAUACCAAACAUACACGGCCAUACACUACAUUCACACGGCCACAACACAACUUCCAUGUUUUCAUGAAUUUCAUUCAUUUCUUCAUACUACAACACACACAACCAUCCAUAACAUAUGAAAAGAGGAUUAAAUCUUACCUUUUUCCUUCAACUUCCUUCUUGGCUAGAAUUGUAAAUUGCAAGAAUAAAUGUUUUUCUUGCUCCAACAACCACUUCACCUUGCUAGGGACCUUCCAUUUGGUAGAAAAUAAUUUUUGGACAAACUUUUCUCCAAGGUUCUUGGUGGAUUACUCUUGGCCGAAUGGCCCCUUAAGUUUUUGCCUUCUCCAAUUUUCUUGAAUCUUCUAAAUGAAAUGAUAAGAAGAUGACUUAGUCAUCUUUUGGAUCUUAUUUAUUUUUCUUCCACAUGGGCCUUAGCCCAUUUAUGUGGACCGGCCACCUUGGGCCUUUGGCUUCAAGACCAAUUUUUUUUUUCCAAGCCCCAUUUAUUUUUCAUGACUAAUUUGUAAUUCAUGAAACUAGUUUUCAAAUUUCCAAUUUUGUCCUUAGCCUUCCUCCAUUUUUCCACAUCAAAAUUUUCAUAACCAACAUAUAUGUUAAACAAGAUAAAAAAUGUGGCCUUGUCCUUAACUUCUUGCAAUUAUCUUAAAUUAUCCGAAUGUACAAAUUGUGGGAUAUAACAUCUACCUUCAUUGAAGUCAUAUUAUCAUUAGAAUCGAUAGCUAACAUAUACGACUAAAGCUAGAGAAAAUUGGACAACAUCUCCUUUAUUUAUACGACAUUUCUCCAUAACGUAUAUCAACUCCCAAACGUCAACAACACAUUCACAAUACCAUAACAAUAGUCAUUAUUCAUCCACAUUAUCCACAUUUCUCAAUUUGCUUUCAAUUAUCCAUAUCCAUGGCUAUAACACACGACUAUGUCCAUUCACGUACAUUACUCAUCUCAUGUUCUCAACAUCAUUUAUAACACAUUUACAUCACAAUACAUCAAGACUCAUAACUCAAUUCAAACUAUUUCUCAAAAUGGCACUAUUCCACAUUCAUGACCCAUUUUGCCAUACCUCUCUACAAUCCAAGUAUUUCAACUUUUAAAUACCUUAAACAACAUAGAAACACCAUAAUUCUUACCUUAUAUUUCGUAGGAACAAGCCUUGGUUGAUAAUACUCCACUUGAGCAAAACCCUAGUUUAUCUCCAAUGAGAUUCCUUGACUUGUAUGAUCCUUAAUGGGUUUUCUUAUACUUGAUUCACUUAGUUUAUGUUGUUGAUCACCAAAUAUCCUUGAAUUCUUGUGGAAUUUAUGUAGAGAGAUGUUUUAGAGAGAAAGGGUGUCAUGUAGAAGUGAAAUGAAAUGAAAUAAUAAACUUGGUCCCUUUUUUAAUAACCCAAAAUCUGAUCUGAAAGAAACAGUCGUCGAAAGUGCACAAUGGUCGAAAACCAAGUUUACGGUCCGUAUUCCAGUUUACGGGCCGUAUUUCGUGGUCGUAUUUAAGCAUAUCAAAACUAGAAAGGUAUGCUGGAGAUCAUGGUGAUUUACGAUCGCAGUUUACGGGCCGUAUUUCAAUUUACGGUCCGUAUUCCAAGUCGUAUUUAACCAUUUGGACAUUUGACAGAAAGUUGAAGUUUUGGACGUUGAAAUACGACAUGGCAGUUUACGGCCGUAUACCACUUUACGGUCCAUAUUUCACUUUACGUUCAACUAGCCAAAGUGCAAAUCUGCAACUUUCCACAUUUUUAGAAUCUAUAGUUAGUCAUCAUGGAGCAUAACCUAUCUCUUAUUGCAAUCGCCUUUGAAAUCUUACUUAAGGCUAUCAAUUGUCAUUUCUUACUCGUGGAAAUAUCGUAUACUCAUACUCCUCACUAGUUCAUUCAUUUGAGCAAGAAAGGAAGAUCUUCCGAGGUGUAACAGAUCGUGCGUAAGAGGUUAUAGUAUCACACAUGUUUCAGUCCUCAGUGGUAAGUCAAAGGUUCACAGGUUGAUUCUUAUCCCUCUUAUUCUACAGUAUGAUAUUGUUAUUAUUAUGUUUCAUUCUGCCUUACAUACUCGAUACAUUAUUUCGUAGUGACAUCCCUUUGCUUGGAGACGCUACGUUCAUGCCCGCAGGUUCAGACAGGUUGACAGGAGGAUUGCACCGAUGAGGUUUGCCGAGUAUCAGCUUGGAUUGUACUUUAUCAAAAAGUCCGCUGAAUGCAUACGCAUCUCUUCUCGACCUGUGCUCUCUCAUCUCUCCUCGACCUGUGCUCUCUCAUCUCUCCUCUUCUCAGAUUACGGAGAUGGUGUCUGACUUGCCUAUGUUUGACGGCUGUUGUGACAAGCAACUGCAUUAGAUGGAAAUGAAAUAGCUGGCGCAAUCGCAACCCGAUGGUAUUUGUGCCAGAUGGAAGUAGACAACUCUGUUUUACGAACAUGUUCAAAUGCUUCAACUGUUGUAAAAUGUUGACUUCGUGUUGUCUACUACCUCUAUAGGUAAACUGUGGACAAAACUACAUCUUAUUGUAAAAUACCAAGCUGAAACCUACUUUUUGCAAACAUAUUUCAAUAUUUUCAAUAGCCUU